rnacentral:rRNA from 1 species
CAUACCACCCUGAACACAUCUGGUCUCAUCUGAUCUCAGAAGCUAAGUAGGGUCGGGCCUGGUUAGUACUUGGAUGGGAGACUUCUAGAAGAGUUAUAAGAAAAAAAAAAAA